UGUGUUAGGAAUCAAUGCCUUCGCCCCCCGACUGGUGGCUGAGAGUGGGACUGAAGCACAGCAGGCAGCUCACCCCAGGCCUGGAUUCCCCUCCCUUCUGUAGAGGACAAUUUCCAAGUCACAUUUCUGCUUCAGGCCAGAGAGCUGGAAGAUCCUGAGUGGGGCACUCCCGGAGCUGUGUGCUUGCAGGGACAACCCUACAUGGGCCUGGGACAGACAGCCUCCACCACACCCAGGAGCCGGGCCUAGAAGGUGCCUCCGGGACCACCAGGACACGCUCACGCAAGGACACUGGACACACAGCUAUCAACAAGAACGAAAUCUCCGCCAGGGAAGCAACACGAUGGAGCUGGAGGCCCUUGUCCCAAAUGAACUAACUCAGAAACAAAACUGCACACUGCCUGCUCUCACAAGUGGGGGCUGAACAGGUGGGUGCCCAGGAACACGAAGAUGGAAACAACAGACGCUGGGACUCCAAAGCUGGGCAGCGGGAAGGGGCGAGGGGUGAAAGAUGACCUCCGAGGUGUGAGGUUCACUGUUUGGGUAGUGGGCACCCUAGAAGCCCAGUCCCCACCAGGAUGUAAUAUCUCCAUGUCACAAACAUGCACAUACACCCCCUGAAUCGAAGAUAAAAUAAAAAUAAACAGUACUUUCCAUGCCCUAAUUUUUAAAACCGGGAUCUUUUAACUCCUUUGCAAACCACUACCUUUCUUGUAAUACAAAAGCAACUUUAAUAUGCAAAUUUGGCUUAAUGAUGGGAAAUACUUUUGUUUUUUAAGCCCCCUCCUGGAGCAAACCAAAACAUUUUU